rnacentral:rRNA from 1 species
UACGUAGGGUGCAAGCGUUACUCGGAAUUACUGGGCGUAAAGCGUGCGCAGGCGGUUGUGCAAGACCGAUGUGAAAUCCCCGGGCUUAACCUGGGAAUGGCAUUGGUGACUGCACGGCUAGAGUGUGUCAGAGGGGGGUAGAAUUCCACGUGUAGCAGUGAAAUGCGUAGAGAUGUGGAGGAAUACCGAUGGCGAAGGCAGCCCCCUGGGAUAACACUGACGCUCAUGCACGAAAGCGUGGGGAUCAAACAGG